rnacentral:rRNA from 1 species
CAGCCGCCGCGGGAAUACAGAGGGUGCGAGCGUUAAUCGGAUUUACUGGGCGUAAAGCGUGCGUAGGCGGCUUCUUAAGUCGGAUGUGAAAUCCCUGAGCUUAACUUAGGAAUUGCAUUCGAUACUGGGAAGCUAGAGUAUGGGAGAGGAUGGUAGAAUUCCAGGUGUAGCGGUGAAAUGCGUAGAGAUCUGGAGGAAUACCGAUGGCGAAGGCAGCCAUCUGGCCUAAUACUGACGCUGAGGUACGAAAGCAUGGAGAGCAAACAGGAUUAGAUACCCCGGUAGUCCCUGUCUCUUAUAC